AGCAGCCGCGGUAAUUCCAGCUCCAAUAGCGUAUAUUAAAGUUGUUGCAGUUAAAAAGCUCGUAGUUGAAUUUCGGGAUCAAUUAAUUGGUCGUGCCUCUGGUACGUACUGAUUUUAUUGGUUUCUCCCUUCUGACGAACCAUGAUGUCAUUAAUUUGGUGUCGUGGAGAAUCAGGACUGUUACUUUGAAAAAAUUAGAGUGUUUAAAGCAAGCUAACGCUUGAAUACAUUAGCAUGGAAUAAUGAAAUAGGACGUUUGAUCCUAUUUUGUUGGUUUCUAGGAUCGACGUAAUGAUUAAUAGGGAUAGUUGGGGGCAUUAGUAUUCAAUUGUCAGAGGUGAAAUUCUUGGAUUUAUUGAAGACUAACUACUGCGAAAGCAUUUGCCAAGGAUGUUUUCAUUAAUCAAGAACGAAAGUUAGGGGAUCGAAGACGAUCAGAUACCGUCGUAGUCUUAACCAUAAACUAUGCCGACUAGGGAUCGGAUGA
rnacentral:misc_RNA from 1 species